rnacentral:lncRNA from 1 species
CUGGGGAGGAGGGCAGUUUUCUUGCAACCCUUUGUCCUUCCAGCAUCCUGAAUCCUCGUCUAACCUCUCUUGUUCCUGUGUGUUUUGAUGAAGCUGGUGCUGGAGUUGGGGUUUUUCCUUCUUUUUCUCAAUACUGGAAUCAUUGACCAGAAGUUUGUGCUGAUUGGCAUCAAAAAAUUACCAAGAUUCCUCUGCCCGGGGCUGUUUUGCCCUUGUGCUUCUUCAUUCCUCAAGUUGCCCUUGGCCAUGGCAGCAGUGCUGGAAGGAUGCUCCUGGGGGUUCCUGGGUUGGGGGGCUGGCCAGGCACUCCAAGUGCUGAGAUGUCACGCUGUCUUCCAGGUCUUCCCCUGCUGCCUCCACUGCUGACCCCCAGCCCUCUGCCCCACGGGAUCCCCAACCUGCCCCUGCUGCUUCUCCAACGGCUCGUGCCACGGGCUGCCGGUUUCCACCCCGCGCUCAGCAUGCCCUUUUCUGCUGCAACCGGACCCUUCGAGGAAUCGCUCUGGAGCUUGAGGCCAGGCUGCAGGGUAAGGAAAUGGAGUCAAAGGUCUCCGAAGGCGGCCUGAACGUCACCCUCACCAUCCGGCUGCUGAUGCACGGCAAGGUAAGGCCUCCUGGCGAGGGGAUUUCCUCGUAGCUCCCUCUCCCACCUCCUCUCCAGCUGUGCCUGGGUCCAGCCAGCCCCAUGUGCCACCUCCUUGGCCCCGGGGUGCCAGAAGCAGGUGCCCUCCCGCUGAUGGGGAGGGUGGCACAGUGACAUGGUGCUCCUGGCCCCCCACGCUGUCCCUCUGCUGGGGACAGUGCGUACCAGGUCUUUGCUUCAUUGUGGGGUUGAGCUGGAUUGUCUUCAUGUUUUGUAAUGUUGAUUCCUUUGUGUUUGUCUUUAUUUUGGUAGGAAGUUGGAAGCAUCAUUGGAAAGGUAAGAUGUCUUUUAAAUAUGUAUUUAAUGCUAUUGCCUGCACCUGUGAUGCGGUAGAUGCCAGUCACCUCUUCCCUGUGAUGUUCUUAAAUGUUUGGUGUGCAUGGGCUUGUUGCUGCAUUUGUAAGACAGAAAUGAUGAGAGACCCCCAAAGGGAUCAAAGACCAUUCCCCUAAAAAACCCAGCUGCCAGACACACCUAGUGCUGUUUCCAGCUGCUUCCCUGGGCUGAUGGAUAGCUGUUUAUGAUCAUGUUGCCCUGACUUCAUUAAGAGAGACUAAAAAAUGCUAUGCAGACUCAUUUAAAUUCUGGAGCACUUGUCUCUGAGGCCACAGGACACCAUUUAGCUUGUGUAGAAAAAACUUCACGAGGUGCUCUGCUCCCUGGUGCUUGCCGUGGUGGUUUGGAAAGUCCUGGCUAUCCAGGAUUGGUUUUUUUGGUGUUUUUAAAAGGCCAGUUUAUGGUGGCAAAGAUUUGCAGCCUGAACACCUUUCCCCCGUAUGGCUGUGCCUUAUUUUUCCAUCAGCCUAUCUAGCCCUGGAAAGAUUCACAGUUGUACCUGCUUUAUAUCUGGAUAUAAAGAUAUUAGUUCUCUCUAUAGAUACUUGAUCAGAAACUGCUUUCUGAAGCCAUUCUGAAGUGCCAGCUUUUCUCAGCAUCAGACCAGUUUCAGAGCUUUUUCUCUGCAGUUUUCCUCUUAAUGGGAAAUGUAGAAAGGGAGGUGGAGGCUGUGGUUGUGCAUUAGUAGCUCUUUUAACUGUUGUGGCGCACAGACACAGGGAGCAGGGCUACGAUGGCUUCCACUCUUAGCUCCUCAGAGCUAAAGGCGGGUGUUUGGAAGGGUUGUUUUGAAGGUGGAAGUCUUGAAUUUUUAGUAAUAGCCUGUGUUUCUGCUUCUUUCAGAAAGGAGAGACUGUGAAGAAGAUGCGUGAGGAGGUGAGCAACCUAAUGGGUAAAACGAUUUGUAGGAGGAGGGGAGAGGAGUGGGAAGGGCCGGCAGGCUCCGCUGCCCAGCAGCAUGCAGCACGACGGCCGGAGCUGCACAUCGCCCUGUGCGAUGGGUGCAGCAACUCCCAGGGUCAGGACACACAAGGCAGUUGUCCCCAGAGCUUUUUGGUCCAGUUUUCUCGCUCUAUACUCAAACAAACCCCUAUCACAUUUCUCAGGAGUUUUCCAGAGCCAAGAAUUUGCUCUUAAUGAAACACUGAAAUUAAGUCACUCGUAAGAUGCUUGAGUUUGUCCAAGGACUUUGUGCAUGCAGCUAGCAAGGAAUUACCAGAUCAGUAGGCAAAACUCUUCCUUUUACAAGCAGUGAUCCCACGAGCUGGUCUUUCCUUGGUUGUGUGGGUUUGCAUUGCAGUAAAAGACCCAAAGCAGAUGCUUGGAAGCCUGUUCUGAGGGUUGGGGCAAGGCAGUGCUGGAAGCAUCGCAGGGGGCAAGGGUGGGAGUUUUUAAAGUUAGAUGGGAUGC